rnacentral:rRNA from 1 species
AUUGAACGCUGGCGGCAGGCCUAACACAUGCAAGUCGAGCGGAGCGGCGGACGGGUGAGUACUGGCGAGGAAUCUGCCUGGUAGUGGGGGAUAACGUCCGGAAAGGGGCGCUAAUACCGCAUACUAUCAGAUGAGCCUCGGUCGGAGUAGCUAGUUGGUGGGGUAAAGGCGUACCAAGGCGACGAGCCGUAAGUGGUCUGAGAGGAUGAUCAGUCACACUGGAACUGAGACACGGUCCAGACUCCUACGGGAGGCAGCAGUGGGGAAUAUUGGACAAUGGGCGAAAGCCUGAGCCAGCCAUGCCGCGUGUGGGAAGAAGGUCUUCUGAUUGUAAAGCACUUUAAGUUGGGAGGCGUUACCAACAGAAUAAGCACCGGCUAACUUCGUGCCAGCCGCCGCGGUAAUUC